CAGGGUACCCUCUGACCCUCCUUAGUUCAACCAAAUGAACUAAAAUUUUAAAAUAACACAACUUUUUGAAAAAUUAGUUCAUUUGUUUGAACUAAGGAGGGUCACAGGGUACCCUG
rfam:Brachypodium distachyon strain Bd21 chromosome 3, whole genome shotgun sequence.